rnacentral:lncRNA from 1 species
AGAUGAAAAGCCCAUGUGUGCGCGCGCGUCCCAUUCCUAGCAGACGGGCUGCGCCAUCUGCGAGGUAGGUCUGCGCACGGUAAGUAUGUGCGUAGUAGGCCUGUGCACGCAGAAAGCUAGGCCUAUGGUGUGCGGCAAGCUCGAUCAGUGGGCGCUACGCACUAUUAGCUGGGUGAUAUGCUGCUGGCAGCUUGGGCAGCAUGCCGCCAUCACUUAGGCAAUGUGUCACCAUUGUCUGGGUGGCGUGCCUUUGGUUUUGGUGCCACCGUCC